GUUGUAUAGUCAAGUAAUUAAGUGCAUGUGGUGGAUGCCUUGGCAGUCAGAGGCGAUGAAAGACGUGAUAGCCUGCGAAAAGCUCCGGGGAGGCGGCAAAUAUCCUUUGAUCCGGAGAUGUCUGAAUGGGGGAACCCACCUACUUUAAGGUAGGUAUUGCAACAUGAAUACAUAGUGUUGCAAGGCGAACGAGGGGAAGUGAAACAUCUCAGUACCCUUAGGAAAAGAAAUCAAUUGAGAUUCCCUCAGUAGCGGCGAGCGAACGGGGAUCAGCCCAUUAAGUUAUGUGUGUUUUAGUGGAACGCUCUGGGAAGUGCGAACGUAGAGGGUGAUAUUCCCGUACACGAAAGGGCACACAUAAUGAUGACGAGUAGGGCGAGGCACGUGAAACCUUGUCUGAAUAUGGGGGGACCAUCCUCCAAGGCUAAAUACUCCUGACUGACCGAUAGUGAACCAGUACCGUGAGGGAAAGGCGAAAAGAACCCCUGUGAGGGGAGUGAAAUAGAUCCUGAAACCGCAUGCAUACAAGCAGUGGGAGCACCUUCGUGGUGUGACUGCGUACCUUUUGUAUAAUGGGUCAGCGACUUAUAUUCAGUAGCGAGGUUAACCGUAUAGGGGAGCCGUAGAGAAAUCGAGUCUUAAUAGGGCGUUUAGUUGCUGGGUAUAGACCCGAAACCAGGCGAUCUAUCCAUGAGCAGGUUGAAGGUUGGGUAACACUAACUGGAGGACCGAACCCACUGUCGUUGAAAAGCCAGGGGAUGACUUGUGGAUAGGGGUGAAAGGCUAAUCAAGCCUGGUGAUAGCUGGUUCUCCCCGAAAGCUAUUUAGGUAGCGCCUCGGACGAAUACCAUAGGGGGUAGAGCACUGUUUCGGCUAGGGGGUCAUCCCGACUUACCAAACCGAUGCAAACUCCGAAUACCUAUGAGUACUAUCCGGGAGACAGACUGCGGGUGCUAACGUCCGUAGUCAAGAGGAAAACAAUCCAGACCGCCAGCUAAGGCCCCAAAAUCAUAGUUAAGUGGGAAACGAUGUGGGAAGGCAUAGACAGCUAGGAGGUUGGCUUAGAAGCAGCCACCCUUUAAAGAAAGCGUAAUAGCUCACUAGUCGAGUCGGCCUGCGCGGAAGAUGUAACGGGGCUAAAACUAUGUGCCGAAGCUGCGGAUNNNNNNNNNNNNNNNNNNNNNNNNNNNNNNUGCUGGAGGUAUCAGAAGUGCGAAUGCUGACGUGAGUAACGACAAAACGGGUGAAAAACCCGUUCGCCGAAAGACCAAGGGUUCCAGUCCAACGUUAAUCGGGGCUGGGUGAGUCGACCCCUAAGGCGAGGCCGAAAGGCGUAGUCGAUGGGAAAAUGGUUAAUAUUCCAUUACUUCUGUGUAAUGCGAUGAGAGGACGGAGAAGGCUAAAUCAGCCUGGCGUUGGUUGUCCAGGUGAAAGGAUGUAGGCAUGUAUCUUAGGCAAAUCCGGGGUACUCUAUGCUGAGAUCUGAUAGCAAGCUGUACUUGUACAGCGAAGUGGUUGAUGCCAUGCUUCCAGGAAAAGUCUCUAAGCUUCAGUUACACAGGAAUCGUACCCGAAACCGACACAGGUGGUCAGGUCGAGUAGACCAAGGCGCUUGAGAGAACUCUGCUGAAGGAACUAGGCAAAAUGGUACCGUAACUUCGGGAGAAGGUACGCUGUUGUUGGUGAUGGAACUCGCUUCCUGAGCUGACGACAGCCGCAGAAACCAGGCCGCUGCAACUGUUUAUUAAAAACAUAGCACUCUGCAAACACGAAAGUGGACGUAUAGGGUGUGAUGCCUGCCCGGUGCUGGAAGGUUAAUUGAUGGGGUUAGCGUAAGCGAAGCUCUUGAUCGAAGCCCCAGUAAACGGCGGCCGUAACUAUAACGGUCCUAAGGUAGCGAAAUUCCUUGUCGGGUAAGUUCCGACCUGCACGAAUGGCAUAAUGAUGGCGGCGCUGUCUCCAGCAGAGGCUCAGUGAAAUCGAAAUCGCUGUGAAGAUGCAGUGUACCCGCGGCUAGACGGAAAGACCCCGUGAACCUUUACUGCAGCUUGACACUGAACUUUGACCUUACUUGUGUAGGAUAGGUGGGAGGCUUUGAAGCUGGAACGCUAGUUCCAGUGGAGCCGUCCUUGAAAUACCACCCUGGUAAUGUUGAGGUUCUAACUCUGUCCCGUGAUCCGGGACGAGGACCGUGUCUGGUGGGUAGUUUGACUGGGGCGGUCUCCUCCUAAAGAGUAACGGAGGAGUACGAAGGUGCGCUCAGCGUGGUCGGAAAUCACGCGUAGAGUAUAAAGGCAAAAGCGCGCUUAACUGCGAGACCCACAAGUCGAGCAGGUACGAAAGUAGGUCUUAGUGAUCCGGUGGUUCUGUAUGGAAGGGCCAUCGCUCAACGGAUAAAAGGUACUCUGGGGAUAACAGGCUGAUACCGCCCAAGAGUUCAUAUCGACGGCGGUGUUUGGCACCUCGAUGUCGGCUCAUCUCAUCCUGGGGCUGAAGCAGGUCCCAAGGGUAUGGCUGUUCGCCAUUUAAAGAGGUACGCGAGCUGGGUUUAGAACGUCGUGAGACAGUUCGGUCCCUAUCUACCGUGGGCGCUGGAAAUUUGAGAGGAUCUGCUCCUAGUACGAGAGGACCAGAGUGGACGAACCUCUGGUGUACCGGUUGUGACGCCAGUCGCAUCGCCGGGUAGCUAUGUUCGGAAGGGAUAACCGCUGAAAGCAUCUAAGCGGGAAGCCUACCUCAAGAUAAGAUUUCCCUAGGACUUUAUGUCCUCUAAAGAGCCGUUCGAGACUAGGACGUUGAUAGGUUGGAUGUGGAAGCAUAGUGAUAUGUGAAGCUGACCAAUACUAAUUGCUCGUGAGGCUUGACUAUACAACACCCAAGCAGUUG
rnacentral:rRNA from 1 species